UGAAAGGCAACAUGAGAGAAAACCUGUCUCCUAAGGAAUGCCAAUGAAAUUGAACUGCCAGUUCAAAAGCUGGUAUAAAAAAGCAAGACAAAAAGACCCUGUGGAACUUUAAUUAACUGCUUUACAUAAUAAAACCAGUAAUUUCAGUUGGGACAACUUUAGAAAAAAUAAACUUCCUAAUUUUACUAGACUAACUAGUCCAAAACAACCAUGACCCAGUAGUACUGAUUAACGAAACAAGCUACCCCAGGGAUAACAGCGCUACCUUCUCAAAGAGUUCAUAUCAACAAGAAGAUCUACGACCUCGAUGUUGGAUCAGGGUACCCAGACGGUGCAGCAGCUGUCAAUGGUUCGUUUGUUCAACGAUUAAUACCCU
rnacentral:rRNA from 1 species